rnacentral:lncRNA from 1 species
CCCAGCCCGGGCCCGGACACGCCCCGCUCCCAGCUGGAGAGAGGAAAUGGGAAGGAACACAGGAAGAGGUUCGAGCCUCUUCCCAUCCUGGACUGAGCGGAGGAGGACUUUGCCUGGGUUCUCGGUCGCCAGCUCGCCUCGGGUCCUGGCCCCUUGCCUCAGUUUCCCUUUCCUGCCCCCAAAGCGAGAACAGGGUGGAGGAGGUGGUGAGUCACUCCUACAGUUCCUGUUCCUGGCGUCCCCAUUCCCUUCUCCUAUCCCAGCAGCGGGAGGAGGAAGGAGAAGGGGAGCAUUGGGGACAGGUGGUGAAAAUGGGGCAAAAAUGGGAGGUGAGGGAUUGAGGGGGCCCGCGGAACUGCCUCGCUAAGGUUUAAUUUUGUGUGUGUGUAAAUAGGCCAGUGUAGGGGUGACCUCGCAAGCCAUUCCAUACCAAAGGGAGGAUGCCAAAGAUUGUUGGGGGAAACGUAGUCAUCCUCUGUGUGGGGGUGACAAGGCCGUGGGUGUCAGGCAUUCCUUUAGGGAAGGAAGGAUGGACCAAGAUUUCUACAGUCCAUGUUCCUCGGAGCUGUCUAUGUGUAGAACACAUCUACUCACGUCCACACUCUGGUGUCUGCGUUGGUGAGAACGUUCUAUAUAUGUGUGUGGAUAGGGGCACAUGUUCCUGCAGUGAGCCACACACCUGUGUGAUUGGGGGCGGGGCGGGGGGGGGACGUGGAUGGGGACUAACGAUACCAUCUUGAUGGAUAGAGAGCCGUCAUCCGUGGGCUCUAGCUCCCCUUCUGACACCUUCUGGCUGUGUGACCCCGAGCGCCUGACAACGCCCUAUGGCUACAAAUUGGGCUUCUUUUCUUCCUGGGGUCCCUUCCAGUUCCAUAGAUUAUCUUAGCUUGCUGCAGGAAGUCCAGACCCCCAGAUUUCCCAGGGAAUGGGAGGAGGGCAGGUGAACACCCACGUGAGGAAUAUAGACGAAGUUUCAUGAAGAAAGGAACUCACUUGCCCAACUUUGUAUCCCCACCCCAAACUAGCUAGCACACACGAGGCACUCAUUUAACCCGGGAGGUAGGGAGUGAGUAAUUUUUAUCCAUAUUGUGCCUUAUUGUUAUAUAUUUUAGCUAUGUGACCUUGAGCAAAUCCUUCUCAAUUUCCUUAUCUGUCAAAUAAAGGGGGUUAGACUCCAUGACCUCUGAGGUGC